GCCAAUUUGAUAGGAAGUACAGUGUUCUGAGCUGCCAAAGCCGUGCUCGAUCCAGCCAAUGAGAUGUACUUUAACUACAGAAGUGAAGGAGACAGACACAGCACUGGGACCCACGGAAGCUCAGCAAACAUGGCCGACACACAGACCUGGGAGUCAAAAUGUCAGAAGGAUCAUGAAGCGCUGGAGAUGAGGGAUGUCAGACACAGAAGAGCCUCAGUGAGACGACUAGGGAGACUUGUGGGAAGAGAGCCUUUAAUUUGCAAGUGUAGAUAUUUCAGCAUUCACCAAAACCCAACAUUCAAGAAACAUGAAAGAAACCGGCUUUCCACUGAUGUUACGGAA
rnacentral:lncRNA from 1 species